GCUUCUCAUUUCCGGUUGUCAGGAGCGAACACAAGGCCACGUUGUGCUAUCGAUAACUCAUGAAAAGACGUCUUACUGUUGCUAAAACUCACACUAAACACGUUUUAGAGAUCUUACGCAGGCUUCAACGUCACGCUUUCAGAGGGCUGUAGCAGACUUGGCUUGCAUGCUUUCUUUUAUCCCGGCUAGCAGAUUAAUGUAAUCGAGAUAAAUUAGCAGGAUUUGCUGCAGCAGACACGCCAACGCCUUCCUGUUGACGACCGGAGCACUUUGGAUUCUUAAUCUUCUUCUUCUUCCGACGAUGGUUUUGUUGAAGAACUUCCGUCCUCCCACCGAGGGAGUCAGGCUCCAGCAAGCCGACACCACUGCGGUCAUGGACGGCAACAAGUUGGGGUGCGGGACGCUCUACGUCGCUGAAACGCGACUGUCAUGGUUCGACGGUGCCGGGCUAGGCUUCUGUCUGGAGUACCCUACCAUCGGUCUGCACGCCAUCUCCAGAGACGUCAGCGCGUACCCUCAAGAGCAUCUCUACGUCAUGGUCAACGGAAAACUCCGCGAGGAGGAGAACGAGGCAGAAAUGGCAGACAAGGCACCUGAUGAGGAAGAUGAUGGCGCCAGCAGUGACGGUGACGAUGAUGAAGACGGAGCCAUCACCGAGAUCCGAUUUGUGCCCGGUGACAAAGCUGCAUUGGACACCAUGUUCACGGCCAUGUGCGAGUGUCAGGCGCUGCAUCCUGACCCAGAGGACGACGACUCGGACAACGACUUUGAAGGAGAAGAAUACGAUGUGGAGGAGGCCGGUCAGACGCACACGCACACGCACACACACACACUCACAUUAAAAUGCAAUCGAGUGGGUCUAACAUUUGACGUGCGUUUCUUUCCUUGUGCGUCUCUGGUUGCCGAUGUGGGCUCGCCACAGAGGCUGAGCAUGGCCACGCCGACAUCCCCACCUUCUACACGUGCGACGAGGGUCUGUCGGCACUGACGCAGGAGGGCCAGGCCACGCUGGAGAGACUGGAGGGCAUGUUGGCCCACAGCGUGGCUCAGCAGUAUCACAUGGCCGGCGUGCGAACGGAGCAGAGCAACGCCGAGUUUGAAGACGGGAUGGAGGUGGAUGCUGACGCUGCGGAAGCGGGUCAGUUUGAGGACGCCGAUGUGGACCACUGAUGGACGUCAUCAUGAGAGCUGCAGUUCGUCAAGGCCCUCAGCACUUCUGUUGACGCUGUCAAUCAUCCCAGUAGUCUUGCAUGUGUGCAUGUCGUCAUUGGAAUUAUCCAUUCCUGUCAAACAAGUUGUCUUUGUAUCUAACACCAACCUAACAUGUUGUAUCCUUUUUGUCGUAAUUGUCAAUAAAAGAUUAGUUUUUGUAGAUUUUUGUUUACUUGACUGCUUUUUUUUUUAUUCUAACUUCACCAACCUAUCAGAACAUUUUAAUAUGGAUGUGACUGAGGUAGCAGAGUUCAAAGGUAGCUGUGUU